rnacentral:misc_RNA from 1 species
UACGGAGGGUGCAAGCGUUGUUCGGAAUCACUGGGCGUAAAGCGUGCGUAGGCGGCUCGGUCAGUCGGAUGUGAAAGCCCUGGGCUCAACCCAGGAACUGCAUCCGAUACUGCCGAGCUUGAGUACGGGAGAGGGAAGCGGAAUUCCUGGUGUAGCGGUGAAAUGCGUAGAUAUCAGGAGGAACACCCGUGGCGAAAGCGGCUUCCUGGCCCGUUACUGACGCUGAGGCACGAGAGCGUGGGGAGCAAACAGG